rnacentral:rRNA from 1 species
GUGGGGAAUAUUGCACAAUGGGGGAAACCCUGAUGCAGCGACGCCGCGUGAGCGAAGAAGUAUUUCGGUAUGUAAAGCUCUAUCAGCAGGGAAGAAGAAUGACGGUACCUGACUAAGAAGCACCGGCUAAAUACGUGCCAGCAGCCGCGGUAAUACGUAUGGUGCAAGCGUUAUCCGGAUUUACUGGGUGUAAAGGGAGCGUAGGCGGUGCGGCAAGUCUGAUGUGAAAGCCCGGGGCUCAACCCCGGUACUGCAUUGGAAACUGUCGUACUAGAGUGUCGGAGGGGUAAGUGGAAUUCCUAGUGUAGCGGUGAAAUGCGUAGAUAUUAGGAGGAACACCAGUGGCGAAGGCGGCUUACUGGACGAUAACUGACGCUGAGGCUCGAAAGCGUGGGGAGCAAACAGGAUUAGAAACCCGUGUAGUCC